rnacentral:rRNA from 1 species
CCUACGGGAGGCAGCAGUGAGGAAUAUUGGUCAAUGGACGAGAGUCUGAACCAGCCAAGUAGCGUGAAGGAUGACUGCCCUAUGGGUUGUAAACUUCUUUUAUAUGGGAAUAAAAUGUUCCACGUGUGGGAUUUUGUAUGUACCAUAUGCAUAAGCAUCGGCUAACUCCGUGCCAGCAGCCGCGGUAAUACGGAGGAUGCGGGCGGUAUCCGUAUUUCGUGGGUUUAACGGGUGCGUAGGGGGAAUGCCAAGUCAUCGGUAAAAUCGCGGGGCUCAACCUCGAUCCGCCGUUGAAACUGGCGUGCGUGAGUGGGAGAGAAGUAUGCGGAAUGCGUGGUGUAGCGGUGAAAUGCAUAGAGAUCACGCAGAACUCCGAUUGCGAAGGCAGCAUACCGGCGCCCAACUGACGCUGAAGCACGAAAGCGUGGGUAUCGAACAGGAUUAGAUACCCUGGUAGUC